UGCGGUGGCUCACGGCUGUAAUCCCAGCACUUUGGGAGGCCGAGGCGGGCGGAUCACCUGAGGUUGGGAGUUCGAGACCAGCCUGGCCAACAUGGUGGAACUCCCCCAUCUCUAGUAAAAAUACAAAAAUUAGCCAGGCGUGGUGGUGCGUGCCUGUAAUUCCAGCUACUCGGGAGGCUGAGGCAGGAGAACCGCUCCAACCUGUGAGGCAGAGGUUUCAGCGAGCUGAGAUCGCACCACUGCUCUCCGGCCUGGGUGACAGAGGGAGGCUCUGUCUCAAAACCACCCCCCAAAAACAAAAAAACUGCCAUGUUACACCCAUUGAACAAUAACUCCUUGUUUCCCUCUCCUCCCAGCCCUGACAACCACUUUUUUCUUUCUGUUUGUGGGAAUUUGAUUACUCGUAUAAGUGGAAUCAUACAAUAUUUGUCUUUUUUGUAGCUGGCUUAUUUCGCUUAGCAUAAUGUUCUCAAGGCUUAUCCACGUUGCAGCAUGUGUCAGAAUAUCCUUCCUUUUUAAGGCUGCAUAAUAUUCCAUUUUGUGCAUAUAACCCAUUUGGUUCAUCCGUUUGUCCGUCCGUGAAGCUUGAGUUGCUUCCAUCUUUUUGCUCUUGUGGUAAUGCUGUGUGAGUGUGGGCGUGCAAAUACUGCUCUGAGACUCUGCUUUCAGUUGUUUGGGGCAUAUACCCGGAAGCGGGAUUGCGAGAUUGUUUGGUAAUUGUCUGUUUAAUGUUUUGAGGAGCCUCCCACCACACUGGUUUCCACAGCGGCUGCGCCAUUUGAUUCUGCACCAGCGAUGCACCGGGCGCAGUUUCUCCGCAUCCUCCCCGAUACUUCUUAGUUCCUGUUUUUGUUGUUGUUUUAACAGUAGCCAAAAAAUGUCAUUUAAAAAUUUUUAUGGCCAGGAGUGGUGGCUCACACCUUUAAUCCCAGCACUUUGGGAGGCCGAGGCGGGCGGAUCACCUGAGGUCAGGAGUUCGAGA
rnacentral:lncRNA from 1 species